UUAGUCUCUCUUUUUCUUCUCUCUCUUUCAUAGUAUUAGAAAAGGAAAAAAUGGCUAGCAUUAUUGAAAACAUGAAGAGAGGCUUUGGUUAUCUUGUUGACACUGUAUCUGGUGGAAGCAAAAGCGAGAAUAAUGGUGAAAAGCCACAGCUCAAAGUUGAGGUUAAAUUAGCUCAGACGACUGCCCGAGUGGAAACCGAUGAUAAACCCCCUCCUCCUGACGUAGAAUCAACUUAGAAAAUUAAAUAAAUAAAUACUUUAUCCUAUAAUAAUGUUUUGGUUUUACUUUAAUAUAUUUAUAUUUAUGUUGCCUUAUUUUUAUUUCAUUUAUUUUAGGUGUGUUUAAUAUGUAAUAAUUGCCGGAUUAGGCAUUUGUUAUAAGUGUGUAAUGAAAUGUUUGAGCUUUAAAA